rnacentral:antisense_RNA from 1 species
CAGGCCUGAGCUCCGGAUAUUUCUCCUGUUCUGGAGACAGUGAGAAGUGAAAGAGAAAUGGCUGCCCCUGCACCACUUACCGCAAAGGAGGCUCAAGGCUGGGGGGCCCCUCUGCCUUCCAGUGACGGCCCGUGCCACAUCCUAACCCACUCAGCAGGAGAACACAGCAGGUCCCUCCGACCGCAGUCGGCCUCUCCAGCCUGUCAUGCCUCUGGCCAUGAGGCGACCCGCUGGAGUGAUGGAUUCGGGUCCCUCCCACCCACAGGGCGAGGGGGUGCAUUGGUCUGCUUGGGCCGCUGGAACAAAAUGCCACAGCCUGGGCGAGUGACUGACAUUGCUUCCCCACUGCUCUGGAGGCUGGAGGCCGGAGAUCGAGGUCCCUGACACUAUUUCGGUGAUGCCGGAGCCCAGGAGGAGUCCACCAAGCCCCAGCGUGGCCAUAAGCACCUUCGCAGGACCACGGAGUCGCUGCAGGUGUUCAGCCCUGUUGAGAGUGGCAGUCGGUGUCGAUGGUCACAUCUCAGUAACUCAUCGUCACCAGCGAGUACCACAGAGCAGACACAACCGCGCUUCUCUGUAGAGCCUCCAGUCGAUGCUGAGAGCCACUGGGGCGUCUGACACCCAAGGGUGCAGAGACGUUCACUCAGACUAAGUCCAGAGACCGCGCCCUUUCUAAGGCCCUGACUCACAGCCACCCCAUGCUCAUUGUGCCGGAUGUUUCCACAGCCACAAAGACCGUGAGAUGCAGCCUAGUGCAUAUGACUCACAGAAACAUGAAGCCACAGUGGACGCCUGGAUGAGACACAGAUCACCUUCCAAAUCUGAGCGUGGCCUUGGGACCAACCAGGCAGCCAGGAAGAAGGCAGAGACCAGAGGGAACCCAGGUGCCCUCAAUCCCAGCCUCCUCUAUCCCAGCCUCCUAAUCCCAGCUUCCUCCAUCCCAGCACCCCCACUCCCAGCCUCUGUGAUCCCAGCCUCCCCUAAAG